AUUGAACGCUGGCGGCAGGCUUAACACAUGCAAGUCGAGCGGUAACAGGAAGAAGCUUGCUCUUUGCUGACGAGCGGCGGACGGGUGAGUAAUGCCUAGGAAUCUGCCUAGUAGUGGGGGAUAACUUGCCGAAAGGUAAGCUAAUACCGCAUACGUCCUACGGGAGAAAGCAGGGGACUCUUCGGAGCCUUGCGCUAUUAGAUGAGCCUAGGUCGGAUUAGUUAGUUGGUGAGGUAAUGGCUCACCAAGACCGCGAUCCGUAACUGGUCUGAGAGGAUGAUCAGUCACACUGGAACUGAGACACGGUCCAGACUCCUACGGGAGGCAGCAGUGGGGAAUAUUGGACAAUGGGGGGAACCCUGAUCCAGCCAUGCCGCGUGUGUGAAGAAGGUCUUCGGAUUGUAAAGCACUUUAAGUUGGGAGGAAGGGCAGUUAACUAAUAUUUGACUGUUUUGACGUUACCGACAGAAUAAGCACCGGCUAACUUCGUG
rnacentral:rRNA from 1 species